CCCAUUCUUUACAUUUCAUUCAAAACUAUAACAAGGAAGUUGAGCCUGAUUGCCCCGGGUGUCAAAAACCAAUAUCUGGUCCAUUUUACCACUGUUCAGAUUGCACUUAUCCUACAUUCUUUAACCUUCAUAAGGAAUGUGCUGAACUACCCUUUGAGAUUAAUCACCCCUGUGAUCGUAAGCAUCCUCUUACUCUCUUGCCACAACCGCCAACUCAUCCCCAGAAAUGUAGUUGCUAUUUGUGCAGAAUCCAAUGGAAGGGGUUUGUUUAUUCCUGCUCUCUAUGCAACUUUGAUCUUUCACUUGAUGAUUUUCUUUUUUCACCACCAACAAUCACAGUUGCAAGUCAUGAACAUCCGUGGAUGCUUGUAUCUAGAAAAAUGUGGUUUGUUUGUGAUUUUUGUGGCACUGACGGGGAUCACUCCCCCUAUUUCUGUGGUACCUGUGUACUUUUUGUCCACAAGAAUUGCAUUUCAUUGCCAUGCAACAUCAGGAUAACACGACAUUGUCACGUGAUUUGUUUUUCAUAUUCUUUUCAACAAAAUCAAGUUGAAGAUUGUAUGUGCAGAAUUUGUUACACGGAAGUUGAUACAAGUUAUGGUAGGUAUUGUUGUUCUGCUUCCGGUUGUGAUUAUAUUGCUCAUGCACAUUGUGCAACCAAUAAAUCAAUUUGGGAUGGAACAAUUAUCAAGGACGGCUAUGAUGAGAGGCAUGGUCCUUCGAAUUUGCUUACUGAUGUUGUUGAACAAAUUCGUAUUGGAGAGCUAAUGGUAGCAAGUGAGAUCAAGCAUUCCUAUCAUGAUCAUAAUUUAAGACUCACUUUUAGUGGGAAGACCAAAGAUGAUGAUAGUCAGUGCGAUGGGUGCACGAGACCUAUAUCAACUCCGUUUUAUAGUUGUGAGCAAUGCAAGUUCUUUCUCCACAAAGAUUGCGCUGAAUUGCCUAAAGAAAUGCCACACCCCUUUCACAAGCAUUUGCUUACUCUCGUGAACUCACACGGUGGGGGUGGUUAUUCACGGUGCGAUGCUUGUGAUCGUCUAUAUCAAGGAUUUAGCUACGAAUGCUACAAAAGAGAUUGCAGGUUCAAAAUUGACAUUCAAUGUAUGUUAUUGUCGGACACCUUGAAGCACCCAAGUCAUGAGCAUUCACUCUUUCUUGUCCACAACAACGACGGAACAAGUUGCAGUGCUUGUUUCAAAAGACUAUACCUGGGGGAAGUUGCAUAUAUAUGCAUGAAGCGCUGUGAUUUCAGGUUACAUGUAGGUUGUGCAACACUACCACUCACUGCUUGGUACAAGUAUGACAGGCAUGCUCUUACUUUGACUUUUUCUGAUGAUUCUGAGCCUUCUCAACUUUACUGCGAUCUCUGUGAAAAAGAAAGAGAGCCAAAGGAUUGGUUUUACUACUGUGCUGAUUGUGAUAACUCUCUUCAUCUCAAUUGUGUUAUCGGGGAUCUCCCAUAUUUGAAGCUUGGGAACAAAUUGAAGCAUUAUAGGCAUAAACAUCCAUUCACUAUGGUAAAAAACAUCUGGAAUUGCCCUCCAUGUAAGGCAUGUGGUGAGGUUUGCAAUGGACAGGCCCUAGAAUGUAAAGAAUCUGAAUGCAACUUUACCGUCCAUUGGUAUUGCUGUAGGGAUCUCCAGAGAAUCAUUUGAAUGAUAUUCCACUCAAGUUUAAGAAACAGAGAAGGCACAAUAUGAGAGAUGUGUUGUGUUCUGCGUAACCACACAUCUUUAUCUUUCACUUUUCUAUUUGAUUCUUAUCUAAAAUACUAAAAUAAUGAACAUAAUGUUGAGUUUGGAAAUUUAAAUAGAAAAUCAUUCCUCCAUUCAUAAAAUUGUGAGUGAAUGUUAAGACCAUGAAAUGUAUAAAUGGUUUCUCAAUUUUAUUUAUCUAAAAAUCCUAAAUUUAGCAUUUAAAGAUCGAAUUUGGUAUAUCUAUACAUGUUUAUUUACUUAUUUAUUAUUUUUAAAAAGUGGAAAUGUAUGAGGUUUGUGACAUAAAUCAAUCAAGAUUUUGUGACCUUAAAUCAACCAGCCAUAAAAAAAGUGUACAUAUGUUUUAGCUUUACAAUGUAGGUUCAUUUUAUUUCACCUAAUCAGUAAACAUUUGUACUCCAUAUUCAAAAUAAUAUUAUUAUGCCUAAAUAAUCUGUGUGCUUAGUGCCACAAUGACACUUGCAUACACCACAGCUCAUGACACCAAUCGAAGAAAAUAUCAACUUGAAGAUAUCAUCCCAUGUUAUCGAAUUGUGAGCAACCCUUAGAAACUAAAUAAACACCAUAAAAGAAGCAUCGAACAUGGCAGCAAUGCAAUAACGGCAAACCUAUUGCCUGCAUGAGUCUUUAAUUACAACCCCAAAAAUCUUAUACCAAAACAAGGAGCAACAUCAAAAGACCUUCAUAAUUAAACACUCUUAAAAUUGAAUGUUCCAGAUUCUUAUCCUUAGAAUGGAAAUGCUUGGGGUAUUAUGGGAAAAAUAUUAACAUAUAGUCUCACAAGUCAACGACGAAAAUGAUUCUUCUCUUUAUGAAGAACAAGAGCAAGAACUAAUGAAGUAUACCACAAAGGCUGGAGUAAAGUGAAGCAAAAUCAAGUGUUUUCUUGUAAUGGAUGUGAGUGAAUGUGAGAGUAGGACAGAGGAGGAGACCAUGGAACUUCAACUUUUCAGUCAUCCACAUCCUUUGGUCUUCUUCAAAUAUCAGACUGUUGUAAGCAAAGAAGUAGAUCCAGAAGCAGCUCGUUGCUUUGGGUGUGAGAAUCCUUUAGAGGACCGGAGCUACGGCUGCAAUCAAUGUAAGUUUUACCUUCAUAAGGGAUGUGCUGAGUUAGAGUUAGUCCCCCGGAUUCAACAUCCCUUUCACCUACAACACCCUCUCACAUUUUUCCCACAAUCACCUUAUCAGGGUGAAUACGUGCUUGUGUGGCGGAAUAUUCUGGGGAUUUGUUUAUCAUUGUGGUUCUUGUUUAUUUGAUCUGCACAUCAAUUGUGCUUUGCUUCAAUCAUCCAUUGCUACAAAUUUUCCUAAUUCUUUGCACCACCAUCCUUUACACUUCAUUCAAGACUACAAGGAGGAAGUUGAGCGCGAUUGAUCCGGAUGUCAGAAACCAUUAUCUGGUCCGAUUUGCCAUUGUAUAGAUUGUUCUUAUCCUACAUUCUUUACCUUCAUAAGGAAUGUGCUGAACUACCCCUAGAAAUUAAUCACCCAUGUGACCGUAAGCAUCCCCUUACUCUUUUGCCCCAACGACCUGCACAUCCCGAGAAAUGUAGUUGCUAUUUGUGCAAAAUCCAAUGGAGCGGGUUUGUUUAUUCCUGCUCGCUUUGCAACUUUGAGGUUUCAGUUGAUGAUAUUUUUUCACCACCAACAAGAUUUUGUGACAUAAAUCAAUCAAGAUUUUGUGACCUUAAAUCAACCAGCCAUAAAAAAAAAAUAGUGUACAUAUGUUUUAGCUUUACAAUUUAGGUUCAUUUUAUUUCACUUAAUCAGUAAACAUUUGUACUCCAUAAUCCAUAUUCAAAAUAAUAUUAUUAUGCCUAAAUUCUAGAAAAUAAUUUUUUCUUUAUUUUAGAUCUUAUUCUAAAUUUUUUGAAUUUUCCAUCAGAUUUUAUUGUAAUUUCAUUUCAAAGAUAAAUCAGCACUUUUCACAACUUAGAAAAGAAUAAAGUCAAUUUAGGCAAAAAGUCCUUUUUUUUUUCUUUGCCCUCAAAAUAUUAAGAACAACCCCAUUUCUUUUAUUUUUCUUUUUAUCAAAUUAUUCAGAAUUAGGUGAAAAAAUUAACGAGUCGUUAAUUUUGAUGAUGGGAAUGAUUGACGUUUAUGUGACAUUCAUGAAAAUACACGUGUAUCAUGUCAUUAGAAAUUAAUUAUUUUAUAAAAUUAAAAAAAUUAAAUAUUAAAACUUAAUGUCUGACUUUUUUUUAAUCAUUAUUUUUAAAAUUUCAAAUUCUUAAAUAAUUUAAUAUUAAGCUGCUAAUUUUAAAAUAUUAAUAAAUUAAACUAAACACUUUUUCCAUUAAUAAAGAACAUUUUCUUCCUUAUUCUUUAAAAAAAAAAAAACCUAAAUGAACUCUAAAAGGUACUUCAAUCUCUUGAACCCACAUUCGGAUCAUCUGAAGAUUCCAAACAUAGCAUGUUGUGAUUACAAGUAGAGAAACGAGCUUUUAACUCAAAUGAGAGAACAUUAUUUUUAUUGAAUUGAUGAAUAAAUCCAUAUAGUUCUAGCCUUUUAUGAGUCUUAUAAUAGCUCAAAGCUAAAAAUAACAAAACUAAAUAUGAGAAAAUUUGAAAAUUUUAUUUAAGUUCUCUCAAAAUUUUUAAAAAUUCUCAUUAAUUUUUUCAAGAGUUUUAAAAAAUCUUAUUAAUCCCCAAAAAUAUUUUAAAUUUUGAUUAAUUUUUAUUUUUGAAUUAACUAUUCCAAAAUUAUUCCUCUCUAUUAUAUUUUUAUUAUCAGUUAAAGUCAAACAUAAUACUGGCUGAAGGGGACAUAGCCAGAAUGAGAGUGACCAAAUUCCAAAUUAUUGUAUUUUGAUACCAAAAUUCAAGUAAUGUGUAAUUUAUAUCCUCCAAAAUUGUAACGAUAAAAAGAAUGAUAAUGGCAUAUUCAAUCCCUAUACUUUAUCAAAAUAUCUAAUAUGGUAUCUUCACUUUUAAAAUAUCAAUUCUGAUACCUAAACUUUAGAAUUUUUUUAGGAUUUAAAUAAUAUAAUUUUUGUUAUAAUUUUAUAAGAUACACAGUUUAUUUUUAUAUUACAUUUUUUUUAGAAUUUAUAUUAUAAUUUUUUUUUGCCACAACAAUCUCAAAUAAUCAUAUGUGUUUAUACUUAUGAUGUAAUUUUUAUAACUUGUAAAGUAUAAUUUUUAAAAAUUAGAUUUUGGUGUAAUUAUAUACGUAAUUAUUCUAAUUCUCACCCUCCCCUAGAAAUUGGAAAGUAUAAGUGGAGUGCUGUGAUUACAACCAAUAAAGUGGGAUCCACAAAUUAUAAUGCUUAUAAAAACAUGACAUCCUUAGGUAAUUAGAAGUCCAAUUAUCAGAUGACUUUCCAAGCACUAUUUCGGUAAAAAUUAGUGAUCGUUCAAAAAAGUUACUGGAAAGCUUUGCUUCUUUUUUAAAAACUAGAGGUGUUCAUGAGUUGGGUGACCCAGCCUGAAUGCCUGCCUGAAAAGUGAGAGAAUUUAGACAAAAAUAUAAGCCCAAAAUAGGUUUGGACAAAAAUUAAGGCUUGUUUAGGCGAAAAAACGAAUCGAAUCUUGAGUAAGGUUUUUUUUUGAACUGGACCUAGCUCGAAUUUGCAAACAAAAAAAAACUUUUUUUUGUUGUUUUUCACUGUUUUGCUGUCAUUUCACUAUUAUGUUGUUAUUGUUUGGAUAUUGUAUAACUCUUAUUUUAUUGUCAAAUUUGCUACUAUUUUAGAGACAUUUGCUUGUUAAGUUGCAGAUAUCCUAGUUUUAUUUAUCUAUAAAGGUUUUUAUUUUAAUUUACUGAGAAAUAUUUAUUUUAAUGUUUUAAGUGUAUUUUGUGUAUUAUAUUUUUAAAAUUUUUUAUAUAAAAAAUAAAAUACAGGUGGGCAAGACCAAACCAUCAAUUGGGCCCAAAAAUUUGUUAAGGCGUGACCUGAUCCGAUCCAUAAACACCUCUAUUUUAAACUAUCUCCUUUGCUGACUUAGGCAAGGAAAUAGAUUUAUUUAAGCGAGAAGAUAGAAAGAAAAAAAUAAUCCGACAAAUGAAAUAAAAAAUCUUGGUUGCGGAGAGAAACAUAAUAUAAAGAAUAUAAAUAUGAAAUUCUUUAUAACUUGUUAAAGAAAUUUGGUAUCAACGUAAUGAUAAAAGAAUGAUAAUAACAUAUUCAACCCCUAUACUUUAUCAAUAUAUCUAAUAUAUCCUUCUAAUGGAGUUAAAAUCUUACAUCACUUUGAAUGCAACCAAUUGUAUGCUGCCAUGUGGCCCUAUUAGUUUGAAAAAUUUUAAUCAAAGUCGAGGGAUUUGAAAAUAGUUAUACCAAAAAUUGUUUUAAAGGCAAAAAGAAGAAAAAAAACCAUUAAGACCAACCCAUGCCCGGCACAAUUUAGCCCAUCAACUCUUCUACCCUAAACUUAAACUUUGCUCUCAAUUCAAUCUGCGCUUAAUAUAAAAAUUGCUGUCUAAAUUACACAUGUUUUCUCAGAUAGAUUUUUAAACUUUUUUUUUGUCAAUUUGAGUAUUUAAACUAAUUUUAUUCUCACAUUGGUACCCCCAUUAGUUAUCCCUUAGUUUGAUUUGGUGGAAUAAAAAUAAAAUAGAAAUUUGCUUUCGAAGAGAUGGUUGAGUGGUUGAUAGCUCCUGUUUUGAAAAUCGGUAUAGUUCGAAACAUAGAAUUAUCGAAGGUUUGAAUCCCUCUCUCUCCUUUGCUCGAUGAAUAGGUUUGUAAUUAAUUGGAUUUGGCCACAGCUGUACUGAGAUCGAUUCCACUAAAAAUUGAUGAUUUGAUUGGUUUAAUUGCCAAUUCGAUUGUUAUAAUAUUAAUCCAAAAUAGUCAAUAAAAUAUUUUUAAUCUAGGAUAAAUAUACAUUUUGAUAUUUGAACUUGAUUUCAAUGUUCAAAUUGGUACUUAAAGUUUAGGGUUUAAAUAAGAGUAUAAUGCACUUCAAUACACUUAAAUUAACUCACCUGAUUUUAGACUCUUAAAAAUUAACAAUUCAAUUUAAUUUAGUUCUUUAACCUAAAAUUUUGAAGUUUGGCACUCAAUAAUUUAUAUUUUAUGCUAAUCAUUUUAAUUAAAAUAUUUAAAUUUCGAUUUUGUUUCGAAGUGAGCAAUCGAUCAAUUCAAUCCAAUCCAAAGAUUUAACAAACUCUUUUACAAAUCAAAAUAGAACCAAAUUCUCUAUAAAACCAACAAAAUCAAAUUAAUUAUGAAUAAUUUACUGCUCUACCUGUGAUUGAAUUAAUAAAUAAUAUUGGCAAAAAAUACUAAAUAAUUUUUUUUUUGUAAAUAUAGUUUUAAUAUUAAUUUUUUUUUUACUCGUGGAUAUGACAAAAUUCGCUAUUUGAAAUUGAAAGUCAAUUAAUUUGAUUUUGGAUUUCUAAAAUAAAAAUAAAUUUACCGGAUCUACAACAUACUUGAAAAAACUAAAAUCAACCUGUUGAAUUACUUUUGUCAAUUUGACCAGACUAUUGCACACCCUUAAUUUUGCUCCCUGAAUGUAUGUAUACUUGUUAACAUCGGGACUGGUAUCAUUGGAAUGAAACGGGGAGAGCAAGCAACGAAAUUUUCCGAAGAAAAGUGUCCUCUCCUACUUCCUUCUUCCUUCUUCCUCCUACUUUCUUCUUUCUUUCUUUAUUUGCUUAAUUAUAUCUAUAUCUAUGCUUAGAAUUUUGAAAAUUGGGCAAAGCAUCAAUAUAUUCCUUUCUUUAUGAAGACCAAAACCAACACCCAAAAAGAAUCUACUAACCAUGAGGCCUGGAAUAAUUUGAUGAAGCAAUUUCAUUUUUGUUCUUCUUCUUCUAAAUAAUUUCACAUUAUCUGAGAGUUGGAAAGAAAGAGAGAUGGAAAUUCAACAUUUCAGCCAUCACCAUCCUUUGGUCUUCAUCCAAGCUCACAGUGUUGCAAGCAAAGCAGCUCUUUGCCUUGUGUGUGAGAAACCUGUAGUGGGCUGGAGCUAUGGCUGCAAUCAAUGUGAGUUUUAUCUUCACAAGGGAUGUGCUGAGUUAGAGUUAGCCCCCAAGAUUCAGCAUCCCUUCCACCCCAAACACCCUCUCACUCUUCUGCCAAAAUCAUCUUAUUCUGGGUUUGGAAUUUGCAAUUUUUGUCUUAAGAAAUUAGGGGGAUUUUUUUAUAAUUGUAAUGAUUGUAGUUUCUAUCUGCACAUCAAUUGUGCUUUGCUUCAAUCAUCCAUUGCUGCAAAUUUUCCUAAUUCUUUGCACCCCCAUCCUUUGUUCUUCAUUCAAAAUCAUAACAACGAAGUCAAGUCUCAUUGCUCCGGAUGUCAGAAACCAAUAUCUGGUCCAUUUUACCACUGUUCAGAUUGCACUUAUCCUACAUUCUUUAACCUUCAUAAGGAAUGUGCUGAACUACCCCUUGAGAUUAAUCACCCCUGUGACCGUAAGCAUGCUCUUACUCUCUUGCAACAACCGCCUACUCAUCCCCAGAAAUGUAGUUGCUAUUUGUGCAGAAUCCAAUGGAAGGGGUUUGUUUAUUCCUGCUCUCUAUGCAACUUUGAUUUUUCGCUUGAUGAUUUUCUUUUUUCACCACCAACAAUCACAGUUGCAAGUCAUGAACACCCGUGGAUGCUUGUAUCUAGAAAAAUGUGGUUUGUUUGUGAUUUUUGUGGCACUGACGGGGAUCACUCCCCUUAUCACUGUGAUACCUGUGUACUUUUUGUCCACAAGAAUUGCAUUUCCUUGCCACGCCACAUCAUGAUAACACGACAUCAUCACACCAUUUCUCUUUCGUAUUCUUUUCGACAGAAUCAAGUUGAGGAUUGGAUGUGCAAAAUUUGUUACAAGGAAGUUGAUAUAAGCUAUGGCCAUUACCGUUGUCCUGCUUCUCGUUGCCGUUAUAUUGCUCAUGUACGUUGUGCAACUGAUAAAGCAAUUUGGGAUGGAACAAUUAUACCGGAAGGCUAUGAUGAGAGGUCUGAGGAAGUGGUAGAUGUACCUUGGAAUUUGAUUAGUGAUGUUGUUGAACAAAUUGGUAUUGGAGAGCUAAUGGUAGCAAGUGAGAUCAAGCAUUCCUAUCAUGCUCAUAAUUUAAGACUCACUUUUAGUGGGAAGACCAAAGAUGAUAAUAGUCAGUGCGAUGGGUGCACGAGACCUUUAUCAACUCCUUUUUAUAGUUGUGAGCAAUGCAAGUUCUUUCUCCACAAAGAUUGCGCUGAAUUGCCCAAAGAAAUGCCACACCCAUUUCACAAGCAUUUGCUUACUCUCUCAAACUCACACGAUGGGGAUGAUUAUCCAUUGUGCGAUGCUUGCGGUCGUCGGUAUAAAGGAUUUAGUUACAGAUGCUACGAAGGAGAUUGCUGCUUCGAAAUUGACAUUCAAUGUGUGUUAUUGUCGGACACCUUGAAGCACCCAAGUCAUGAGCAUUCACUCUUUCUUGUCCACAACAACGAGGGAACGAGUUGCAGUGCUUGUUUCA
rnacentral:lncRNA from 1 species